rnacentral:misc_RNA from 1 species
GGAAGGAUCAUUAAUAACACUGUGUUGGCCCUCGGGUCAACUUUCUCGCACAUUGUUGGAUGAGUUUGUUUUUCUUUUUUGAAACUCAACUAUCAACCACACUGACGAAUGUUUUUAUAACCAAAUAACAACUCUUAGCAAUGGAUAUCUUGGUUCCCGUAACGAUGAAGAACGCAGCGAAAUGCGAUACGUAAUGCGAAUUGCAGAAUUCAGUGAAUCAUCGAAUCUUUGAACGCAAGUUGCGCUUUCGAGAGCCCUCGGAAGCAUGCCUCUCUGAGUAUCGGUUUCUAUUUGUUUCGAACGCUCUGUGUGUUUGGAAUGUGAUUGAGCGUUUUUUCCCUUUUGAGUGUAAAAAUCGCUUCAAGUCAAGGUUCGCCUCGAUUCGGAACAGUUGUUUGGGCAACCAAUCGUCAACUUACUACGAGCGCGUUGGCACGGAGAACCCUCGGCACAGCACGACGUGUUGUGUAGCCACAACCAAAAAGAUCUCAGAUGAGGUAAGACUACCCGCCGAAUUUAAGCAUAUAAUUAAGCGGAGGAAAAGAAACUAACUAGGAUUCCCUCAGUAACGGCGAGUGAAGCGGGAAGAGCUCAAACCGAAAAUCUCUGCAGCAAUGCGGCGAAUUGUGGUCUAUUGAAGCGUGCUCAGUGUCGGGCCCGGUCCAAAUCAAUUGGAACAUUGUAUCAGAGAGGGUGAGAAUCCCGUAUCUGGCUGGGACCCCGUCACGUACGGGCCGCUCUCUAAGAGUCGGCUUGCUUGGGAGUGCAGGCCUAAGUGGGUGGUAAAUUUCAUCCAAAGCUAAAUACAUGCGGGAGACCGAUAGCGAACAAGUACCGUGAGGGAAAGAUGAAAAGAACUUUGAAAAGAGAGUCAAAAGUACUUGAAAUUGCUGGGAUCGAA